CGCAUACCCAACUGAAGCUUUCUUCCCUUCUCCAGUGGAGUGCACCUGGCAGAAGCUGGGAAGGAGUGGUGCUGGUGAUUCAAAACUGAUUUUCCUGCCUCUUCGAUGCCUCUUUUAGUGACAUACAGUUAAGACCAGGCACUGUCAUUGACCAGGAGCACCCAUUUGAACUUGAUGUGCAUGUGACAACAGGAGAGGAUCUGAGAUGGUAUAGAAGUGUUUGUAUCCCAGCAGCAGGUGGAAGCCAGGGGAUGUCUACCAAAGUUGUAAAUGCAUGUAUUCUGUGGUGUAGCUGAGAGAUAGCUGCCUCACAGAGUAUGCCAUGGAAAAUUCAAAUCCACUUCUGAGGAGAAGAAUGAAAGCCAAGGCAGAUAUGAAAGAGCCAUGGACUGCUGACCUUUGAACCCUGAGAGGAGUGCAGAGCUCACUCAUAUUCUAAUGAAGUAUUUUUCUACCCUUAUUAUGAUUCUGACUCACUAUACUUCUUAUCAAAAUUACAUGAUGAGGAAUUGUAUGUUUGAAUAGCAGUCAAAUGAGAAG
rnacentral:lncRNA from 10 species